rnacentral:rRNA from 1 species
CCUACGGGUGGCUGCAGUAGGGAAUAUUGCUCAAUGGGGGAAACCCUGAAGCAGCAACGCCGCGUGGAGGAUGAAGGUUUUCGGAUUGUAAACUCCUUUUGUUAGAGAAGAUAAUGACGGUAUCUAACGAAUAAGCACCGGCUAACUCCGUGCCAGCAGCCGCGGUAAUACGGAGGGUGCAAGCGUUACUCGGAAUCACUGGGCGUAAAGAGCGCGUAGGCGGGAUAGCAAGUCAGAUGUGAAAUCCUAGGGCUUAACCAUAGAACUGCAUUUGAAACUGUUAUUCUAGAGUAUGGGAGAGGUAGGUGGAAUUCUUGGUGUAGGGGUAAAAUGCGUAGAUAUCAAGAGGAAUACUCAUGGCGAAGGCGACCUGCUAGAACAUAACUGACGCUGAGGCGCGAAAGCGUGGGGAGCAAACAGGAUUAGAUACCCUUGUAGUC